rnacentral:rRNA from 1 species
CCUACGGGUGGCAGCAGUGAGGAAUAUUGGUCAAUGGACGAGAGUCUGAACCAGCCAAGUAGCGUGAAGGAUGACUGCCCUAUGGGUUGUAAACUUCUUUUAUAAAGGAAUAAAACGAGGCACGUGUGCCUUUUUGCAUGUACUUUAUGAAUAAGGAUCGGCUAACUCCGUGCCAGCAGCCGCGGUAAUACGGAGGAUGCGAGCAUUAUCCGGAUUUAUUGGGUUUAAAGGGUGCGUAGAUGGGUUGUUAAGUCAGUUGUGAAAGUUUGGGGCUCAACCGUAAAAUUGCAAUUGAUACUGGCAGCCUUGAGUACAGUGGAGGUAGGCGGAAUGCGUGGUGUAGCGGUGAAAUGCUUAGAGAUCACGAAGAACUCCGAUUGCGAAGGCAGCUUACUAAGCUGCCACUGACAUUGAGGCUCGAAAGUGUGGGUAUCAAACAGGAUUAGAUACCCUAGUAGUC